rnacentral:sRNA from 2 species
GCCGGGGUCACGCCUAAGCGCCCGAGGGCGCGCCGGGGAACCACGUUCCACUGGGGUGAAUCGCUAGACGACCGAGAGGUCGGCGAGCGUAGGACAGACUUCCGUGUCCGAACCCGUCAGCUAACCCGGUCGGUGUCGCAGGAAGAAAGA